rnacentral:rRNA from 1 species
UUUAUGGAGAGUUUGAUCCUGGCUCAGGAUGAACGCUGGCGGCGUGCCUAAUACAUGCAAGUCGAGCGAACAGACGAGGAGCUUGCUCCUUUGAUGUUAGCGGCGGACGGGUGAGUAACACGUAGGUAACCUACCUAUAAGACUGGGAUAACUUCGGGAAACCGGAGCUAAUACCGGAUAAUAUUUCGAACCGCAUGGUUCGAUAGUGAAAGAUGGCUUUGCUAUCACUUAUAGAU